rnacentral:misc_RNA from 1 species
UAAUAAGUGUUUUAUGGCACUUUUAAAUCCAUAUCCACCUUGUGUGCAAUGUCAGUCGAUCUUCUUCAUGGAGAUCGACCAAACAUCAACCUUUAUCUUUUAACUCUUUGUCUGAAGAAUAUUAUGAAUAAACAAUUCAAAAUA